GACUCUCGGCAACGGAUAUCUCGGCUCUUGUCAUCGAUGAAGAACGUAGCGAAAUGCGAUACUAGGUGUGAAUUGCAGAAUCCCGUGAACCAUCGAGUCUUUGAAUCGCAAGUUGCGCCCGAAAGCCAUUAGGCCGAGGGCACGCCUGCCUGGGUGUCACA
rnacentral:rRNA from 1 species